UGGGGAAUUUUGCGCAAUGGGCGAAAGCCUGACGCAGCAACGCCGCGUGUGUGAUGAAGGUCUUCGGAUUGUAAAGCACUUUCGACCGGGACGAACACCCCUGAGCUAACAUCUCAGGGCCUGACGGUACCGGGAGAAGAAGCACCGGCUAACUCUGUGCCAGCAGCCGCGGUCAUACGUAGGACCCAAGCGUUAUCCGGAUUGACUGGGCGUAAAGAGUUGCGUAGGUGGUCUGUUAAGCGAAUAGUGAAAUCUUGUGGCUCAACCAUGAGGCUAUUAUUCGAACUGGCAGACUCGAGAGUGGAAGAGGUAUCUGGAAUUUCUAAUGUAGGGGUAAUAUCCGUAGAUAUUAGAAGGAACACCAAUGGCGUAGGCAGGAUACUGGUCCAUUUCUGACACUGAGGCACGAAAGCGUGGGGAGCGAA
rnacentral:rRNA from 1 species